CCAUCUUGCUCCCCCGGCGAGCGGGGAUGAAGCUAAUUUUAGGUAUGUCUCCUGGAAACAGUACAAAGCUGGAUGCCCAAUGACAAGUCCUUGAAACAGG